rnacentral:rRNA from 1 species
CCUACGGGAGGCAGCAGUGGGGAAUAUUGGGCAAUGGGCGCAAGCCUGACCCAGCAACGCCGCGUGAAGGAAGAAGGCUUUCGGGUUGUAAACUUCUUUUCUCAGGGACGAAGCAAGUGACGGUACCUGCGGAAUAAGCCACGGCUAACUACGUGCCAGCAGCCGCGGUAAUACGGAGGUUGCAAGCGUUAUCCGGAUUUACUGGGUGUAAAGGGCGUGUAGGCGGGACGGCAAGUCAGAUGUGAAAACCAGGGGCUCAACCUAUGGCCUGCAUUUGAAACUGUAGUUCUUGAGUACUGGAGAGGCAGACGGAAUGCCUAGUGUAGCGGUGAAAUGCGUAGAUAUUAGGAGGAACACCAGUGGCGAAGGCGGUCUGCCGGACAGCAACUGACGCUGAGGCGCGAAAGCGUGGGGAGCAAACAGGAUUAGAUACCCUGGUAGUC